GGCUCAGGACGAACGCUGGCGGCGUGCCUAAUACAUGCAAGUCGAACGGUCUUUCUAUGGAAGCUUGCUCCACUGAGAAGAUAGUGGCGAACGGGUGAGUAACACGUGGGUAACCUGCCCAUAAGAGGGGGGAUAACAUCCGGAAACGGGUGCUAAUACCGCAUAGUUUUCUUGAUCGCAUGAUCGGGAAAGGAAAGACGGCCUUUGUGCUGUCGCUUAUGGAUGGACCCGCGGCGUAUUAGUUAGUUGGUGAGGUAACGGCUCACCAAGACGAUGAUACGUAGCCGACCUGAGAGGGUGAUCGGCCACAUUGGGACUGAGACACGGCCCAAACUCCUACGGGAGGCAGCAGUAGGGAAUCUUCCGCAAUGGACGAAAGUCUGACGGAGCAACGCCGCGUGAGUGAAGAAAGGUUUUCGGAUCGUAAAACUCUGUUGUCAGAGAAGAACAAGUUGGAGAGUAACUGCUCCAGCCUUGACGGUAUCUGACCAGAAAGCCACGGCUAACUACGUGCCAGCCGCCGC
rnacentral:rRNA from 1 species